rnacentral:piRNA from 1 species
UACAUCAGCCGCUCGAAGAGG